CAAUAGCAUAUAUUAAAGUUGUUGCAGUUAAAAGCUCGUAGUUGGAUUUCUGGCAUGAUGCGCCUGGCCCGCCUCAAUUCUGAGUGUGUGUGCGAGUGCGCGUCUGCCAAUCCAUUUGCAGAAUGUGCCUACUCUUCAUUGAGCCGGGUACGUGAUGUAAAUCUUUUACUUUGAAAAAUUAGAGUGUUUAAAGCAGGCAUUUGCUAUGAAUACAUUAGCAUGGAAUAAUAAUCUAGGACUUCGGUUCUAUUUUGUUGGUUUCUAGAUCUGAAGUAAUGAUUGAUAGGGGAUAGUUGGGGGCAUUCGUAUUUAAACUGUCAGAGGUGAAAUUCUUGGAUUUUGUUAAAAGACGGACUACUGCGAAAAGCAUUUGCCAAGGAUGUUUUUCAUUGAUCAAGAACGAAAGUUAGGGGGAUC
rnacentral:rRNA from 1 species